rnacentral:rRNA from 1 species
UACGUAGGCAGCAAGCGUUGUUCGGAGUUACUGGGCGUAAAGGGUGUGUAGGCGGUUGUUUAAGUUUGGUGUGAAAUCUCCCGGCUCAACUGGGAGGGUGCGCCGAAUACUGAAUGACUAGAGUGCGGGAGAGGAAAGUGGAAUUCCUGGUGUAGCGGUGAAAUGCGUAGAUAUCAGGGAGGAACACCGGUGGUGUAGACGGCUUUCUGGACCGUAACUGACGCUGAGACACGAAAGCGUGGGUAGCAAACAGG